UACGAAGGGGGCGAGCGUUGUUCGGAUUUACUGGGCGUAAAGGGCGCGCAGGCGGCCGCAUUUGUCAGGCGUGAAAGCCCCGGGCUUAACCUGGGAACUGCGUUUGAUACUGGAUGGCUUGAGUUCGGGAGAGGGAUGCGGAAUUCCAGGUGUAGCGGUGAAAUGCGUAGAUAUCUGGAGGAACACCGGUGGCGAAGGCGGCAUCCUGGACCGACACUGACGCUGAGGAGCGAAAGCCAGGGGAGCAAAGCGGG
rnacentral:rRNA from 1 species